GGGAAUUUAACAUUAAUGUGAUAUAUAGUUUAUUUUUAGUAUGGCUGUUCAUAAUCUGAACUGCUAUUUGAUAAAUAGCAGUUCUCUCAUCAGAGUUGAGUAGAAUCAGUUGAAUUGAGGUUAAAAUGUUUAGGUACUUGUUUCUCAUGUUUCAAAUAUGGAUUAAAUACAAUUUUCAUGAUAAUAAUUUUUAUUUAGAAUUUCUUGCCUCUGAUUUUCCAGCAGCUCAUUUUACAAAUGGGAUUAUUUCUUCUUCCUUUAUAAACCUUAAGGCAGCUUUCUUCAGCCAUCCUAAACUUUCUAGUACUAACUCUUGGUAGUACUAACUCAACACAGAUAGUCCUGAGGAAGGAACACCUGCAGCAUUCAUUCAGGGUAAUAAAAGGCCUUUCUCUGGGCACUCUAGAAUAUACCUAAAUUUAGGUCCAUUUAGCUUUAUAUGAGGGGAUUUAAAAUGAAGCAUAGUAUAAGUUACUUAAGAAUUUGCUCUGAGAAUAAUGAGUUAAAAGGCUAGAUUUCGGGUAGAAGAAACUAUAAGUGAUGGGUAGAAAGAGGAGCUGAAUUAAGCUGAUGCUAAAUUAGAAAAAAAAAGUUUAAAAAACAAAUCAGAUAUUUUAACAUCUACACAGUUAUGCAUUUAAAUAGCUGAUUUAAAAAAAAAACAGCAAAAUACAAACAUUUUCCCCUUAUAUUAAACCUGGAGCACAUAUCCCAGAGGAUGAUAAUCUCUUAUGGCAAGAUUACCAUCAUUAGAAACUUGUUCUGUUUCAGAGAUCUUUGUCUUUACCCUCCUCCUCCUUUAUUAAUAUUAUUAUUUUAUUGUUAAGCAUAAGCAGAGUAUUAAACAUAGCUGAUUCUGCCCUUACUCUAGAAUCUUGCAUUAUAAAACAGGCAGAAUAAUUGGAAGAUUAAAAAUAUCCACUAGGAUGGUAGUUAAGCUUCAUAGGAGUGAGAUUAUUUGCAUGAUUUGACUUUUUGCUUCUGUUUUUAAUAGUACUUCAUAAAAAUUACUUGAAUUAGUGUCUCAUUCAUCUUUUUUCUUUUUCCCCCCUCUUUAUUCUUUUUAGAUAAACAUGAAGAUUGUAUUUUGUAAUGUUAUGUACAUACGGGAUAUCUCAUUCAUCUUUAUCCAUUUCCCCACUCUACUCCUAUAGUCAGGGUUUCUCUAUAAAGGACGCGUAUUUUCAGUCUUCCUGGUAAAAAGGACCUGGAGCCAGAUCAGAUUAACCCCUCCCUGGACAAGUUCAUCAGUGCUUUGAAAAAUCAGGGUAUUGGUAUAUAAUAUUAUUUGAAGACUUCUGGCAUAUCUCUUCCCUUCAAGCCUCAUCAAAUAUAAGUUAACAGUAGGAGGAAGCAGCCAGUCACAGGGGACAAGUGGAGUUAUUCAACCGAGAUGUAUCCCAGCGAAACUGGUGAUCAUAUUUGCACAAGAAGAUUCUUUUUGGAACAGAAGAGCUUGUUUUCAUUCCAAUACUUGGUCCGGAAUCUGUCCUUUAUCCUCAUUCCAGAGACAGACUAUUGGGAAGGUAAUUUCCUUGCAAUCCCAGUCAAGGUAAGUGAGAAAAAUUAUUUUAAUGGAUAAUGAGGGAUUUUUCUGUCUUUGAAGUCUUUUGUGGCAGAUAAAGAGUAAAAUUGCCAGGAGAGACUGAAUCUAAUCCCUGCAUACACUCUGAAAGCAAAGCAUGAGGAGAAAUGCAAAGAAAAACUCGGUAUACGACAGACUUUUUCGUCUCUUUCACCAGUUUUUCUAGUGAGAGGGUGAUGCUUUUUAUGGACAGAGGUUGUAGGAGCUUUAAGCUCCUUUUAAAUGGUCAAAGGGAGAGAGACUGGAUUGAUGUGUGAAGGUUCAUUAAUUAUUGCUCUUACUGAUGUUUGCACAGGCUGUUGGGAUCACAAAUGUCAAUCUGUCAAGAUUCUGUGAUAGGUUCUAAAAAAAACUGAUUGAGUACCUCAAAAGCUGUCAUAUAGCCUGAGAUUAAACAGAUUCAUCUUUCGUGAAAUUAAGAAAAGGUGUGAGUGAAGGAAAUAGAAGAAGACUUUCUUCUUUUUGUUGCCUCUUUGCUUCUCCCACUCUCGGGUUUUAUAUUGAGUAUUGACUUGUACAGAGGGCUAGGAUCCUCCUUGAGAUGUCAGCAGGCUACAGCCAUGGUUAGUGGCCCAGGGUGUAUGCACGCUGCCAGAUGCACAGUGACAGGAGAUUAGGAGAGAUUGGGAUUCAACUUUUGACAGGCUUGACACAAUUUAUUUGGAAAUUUUCGGGAGAGAACAUGAGUAAUAAAGACAAGAACAGUGACAGUAAGGAACAAAUGUGAAUUUCUGUCAGAGACAAAACAGAAUUUUAAAAGAAGUAGCUGUGUUUGUUGUCUUCAGUCAAGCUUUCCAGUUAAAAUGUGUUCCUAAAUUGAAAGUCUUAACACUGCUUUCUACAAUUGACUAGGAAAGCACAAUUAGAAGAAUUUCUCUCAUCAAAAGUUCAUAUAUUUAAAAAAUGAUUGUUCUCGUUUCUUUCACCAAUUAAGCAGUGAUUAUCUUAGGAUCAAAGAAGCUGAUAGGUAAACUACUUUUUCUUAAGAUUUGCCUACCUAGUUUUAUCACAUGAUCUUUAUCAACUAGAAGAUCUGAUGUGGUAUCUUUGUCAUUUCAUUAAACAUUGGCAAGAAAAAAAGGCAGGGGGUGCGGGGUUGGUGAAUACCAAGGGCUAUGAGCCUGGCAUGGGAAUGAGGCCGCUCUGCAUGGGUAUUCCCAGACUAGAUUAUGCUCUCAAGCAAGCAUAGGGGUGGCGGGGGGUGGGGGGAUGCCUUGUUGGCUUUUUAUGAAGGACCUUAAUUAGAAGUCACUCUUAACUCCGGGGUGGAAACAGUUUCUAGCUUACCACUACAGAUCCUCCUGCUGCUAAUGAGCAUGCUCCUUGCAAGGACUCACUUCUUCUGACAGUUAAAGCUGUAUAUAAGAGUUAUUUCUGUUCACCUUUCUCUCCACAUUUAACCCUUACUGGCCAAGUUCAAAGUAUGCAAGUAGGCUAAUUAGGUGUUCUCUGUCAUUGUUCAGGAAACUGAAAAUGCUUCAAGGUAAUAGGAAUAAUAUUUGUGAGCAAAAAGUAAGUAAUCAAGGUGUAAUUUAUUCCUAUAUGGAUAGUAGAUGGUUCCUUUAAUGUUAACCAUGUUUAGAUCUAUUCUGAUAGUCUUUCUAAUUUAUAUAAAAUUUAUAAUUGAAUAGUUGAUUUUGUAGCUCAUUAUUAUAUAAUUAGAAUUCCUGCCCUGGACAUCUGUUUCUUCUAUUUAGGCAGCUUAUCCCAUUGCACAAGGUUUCAUUAAGUAAUUAGCUAAGGAUAUGCAAGUUUCUUCUGCAGAUAAGAUGAUGAUGAUUCUGUAGACUACUAUUUAUUUCAUUGGCUUCUAUUAAAACAUUAAGUUGAUUUAUGAUAAAAUGUAAAAGAAUGGGUUGCUUCACCAAAAAGUUAUGUAUAAUGCAGUCACCAUCCCAGAUGGCUGCAUUUUGAGAAUAGUAAACAGUUUGAGGAACUUCAUUCCCCUCCAUCUUGUGUUUAGGGAGCACUAGAGGUCAGAAGGAUUUCUUCCUGUCUAAUAGACCUGUCAACUGUGAGGGAAGGAUAAGUGGGCAUAUUCCAGAGCUUAAGAGUUGAAGAUCUCCUAACGUCUGGGAAGAGUUUCCUGAUUCUUACACAAAAACAAAAACAUGUUGUGUUAGACAUUUUGUCUGUCUUGGUCUAGAAUUGUUGAGGACUGCUUCUCACAGCUCAGACAUUGUUUACAUGCCUUUGAUUGUAGACUUAAAUAUAGGCCAAGAAACUGACUCAGAGGACCAACUAGGGCUCAAUAAGGACCAACUAGGGCUCAAUAGUGUUCCUUUAGGACAGCCAGUACAGUGCAACCAGAAACUGUAGGCAGCAUCAGAAACCUCCCUUAUGACACAUUAUUUCAGGAAUUUCCCAUGUGUAUUGCCUACCAGAACAGUAAUUCAGUACUCUUUAUAUUAAUAUGGGAUGGAUAAAGAAAAAUUCUGGCAAAAAAUCAUGUGGAUGUAUUCCUUAGCAUUGUUGAUAAUUUGUUGGAUCAGAUAAAGUAGGAACUUAAGACUGGACAGGCCUCUUAACUCUUGGGGAUUCCAUCAAAGCAGAGUGUUCAGUGGUGAUUAUGAUUACAUAAAUAUGAAUUCUUUGUCCCAGUCAUAGGAAUCAAACAGUAAUUUUUUUCACAUAUCCUUAUUUAAAAAAUCAUUAGCUUUGGAUAACAUUGCCAGCAGUGUAGGGUUUUAUUCCUUUUCUUUAAUUCCCCACCCCUGCUUUAUUAUCACCUGAAAUAAGUCAUCAUCUUUUUGGUGCAGAGAUUUCCUUUAGAAAUGGGAAUGGGUGCUCUGCAGGUAGACAGCACAUUUGACAGUUUGGGCUAGACUCUUGGAAAGAACUUGGAAUGUGAACUUUGCAUUUCUGAACACACACUCAUUUCUAUCAGAAGGAUGAAUGAGAGUCUUAAGGUCUGAGUAGUUCUCUUAUGUUAUAGGCAUGCUGGCAUCAUGCUACAGCCCUCCAGAUUUUAAUAAUAUAAUAAUGAAAAGGUUUCAACGGCCUUUUCCUUGUGUGUACCCUCACCCAGGUUGGAGGAUAAUUUCUUACAAGGAUGCUUCAAAUUUAGGUCUGUCUUAGAAUUGACCUUUUUGUUGUUUGGAGGGUUUUUUACUCUAGAAUUUUUCAUCUUGUUACCCCCCCCCAAAUAAGUAUAUCUAAAUAAGGCUAUUAAUACAAAUAGUGCCAUUUCUGGCUUGUGAAGAAGUACCCCCACGAGAACUGUGUGGCACAUACAAGGUGAAUUCCUUUUGUCUGGCUGCUUUGUAAUGAUUUACAUUUAGAUUGUUGUUUGUUGCUCUUGUAGAAGCAUGGGAGGGGCCUGGCAUGUCUGACUGCCUCAGUCACCACACUGACUGGGUCUGGACAGCUUCGCUCAGCAGAGCUGGGAAAUAGGCUGAACUUGCUUUCAAUUGUUUUCAUCAAAUGCCUUAUUUAGUUGGUUUGUAUUGGGGGAAAAUGUCAUGUAGGUCUGGAAGAAUUAAAUGAGAUGAAAAAUGAAGUUUGCAGUUGCUUAGAAUGGUGCAGGGCCUUUAUAUGCAAGUCACCAGGUGGUAGAGCUGGGGCUGUGAGCACACUGUACCCUAUUCCUGUCAGAGCCAGCAGAUGAUUUUGGGUGAAGUGCAACAUCCUUCUCACACAGGAGGAGGCUGGGGAAAGGCAUACUGAUGGCCUUCACUGAAAUACAUCCAACAUGCUGCAACUCCUCACUUGAACCACUUUAAAUAGAAGAUCAGAACUGCCUAGGAGAAGAUUCAAUCAUUCAAGAAAUGCUUGUUGAGUUGUAGGAAGGAGGGCACACAGCAAAGUAGGUGAAAUUUCUUGUUUUUUCCAAGAGUUUCCAUUCUCCUAGGAGAUCAUGUUAAAGGAUAAGUGCUGUGGGGGAACAUAAGUCAGGAAAAGGGAGGAGAUUAAGUGCUAGGGAAGGGGAACAGGAUAAUCAAGAUGGGAUGAUCCAGGAGGAAAUCUUUAUUGAAAAUGUGACUUUGAAGCAAAGGCUUAAAGGAGAUGAGAUCCUCUUUACACCUGAGUGAAGCAUGUUCUCCACAGAGGGAACAAAAGGUGUAAAGAUCCAGAGAUAGGUAAUAGUCAGAAGGCAAAUGUAGAUGGAACAAAGGGAAAAAGCAGCAAGAAAUGAGGUGAGAGAGAUGGACAGGUAAGUCAUGCAGGGUCUUUUGAGAAUCAUGGCAAGUAUUUGUUGGACUUGGACUCUGAGAAGGGGGGAGCUAUUAGAGGGUUUUGAGCAGGGAAGUGUUGUGAUUCUAAACUAAGAUCACUUGGCUGCUAUGUGGAAAGUAGACUUUGGGAGCUUAAAGGGAUGAGCAGGGAGAUCAGUUAAGACACUGUUGUUUUAGGCUGGACAAGAUAAUGAUGACUUUAGACCAUGGUAGGGUGAUGGAGAGGUAAGAAGUAGUGGGAUAUGGAUUAUUUUGAAGAAAACCAUUUAGGAGAAUCCCUUCCAAACCACUUUGGAUCCUUGGCAAGAGAUGCAUCCUCAGUAUGCACCAGCAACUAUUGUAGGAGUACAGAGCCCCAAGUGCUGCCCCCCACCCUUUUGAAAUCAAGAGUUAUUUACAGCUUGCCUAUGAUUUGAACUUUGUUGUAUUUUAGUUACUUUUUUGAGAUUGCGUAAGAUACAAAUUGUCAUACAUUAUACCUCUUUCACCUUUCAUUUUGGCACAGGCCCUAAGGUUAUGGUGCCAAGUGCUGCCUUCUGUAACCACCCACAGUGGAAGCCAUGGGAUAGCUUGUUUGUGAAUAGGUACUUUUUUACUCUGAAUAUUAAUUGGACUUAUUUUUAGUAUUAGAGCCAGAUUCUUACAUGUUUAGGUAUAGAAAUGUGAAGAAACUUUACUAGAAAAGAUUAAAUCUCUCAUUAAACACUGACUUUCAGUAUGGAAUUAUGCUAAGUAUAGGGAUAUAAAGAUACAAUAGAACCCAAGACCCACUGGCACACCCUGUAAUACCAGCUACUCGGAAGGCUGAGGCGAAGGACUGCAGAUUAAACGCCAGCCUCCACAGUUUAGCUUGAGGCUUUUCUCUAAAUAAAAUAUAAAAUAAGGCUGGGGGUGUGGCUCAGUGGUUAAGUGUCCCUGGGUUCAAUCCCAAUACCAAAUAAAUAAAUUAAUUAAAUUUAAAAAAAAUGGUUGGGUGGGGGAUGUAACUCAAUAAUAGAAUGCUUUUGGGUCCAAUUCCCAGUACUACCACCACCAAAUAAAUACCCAAGAAGAGGGAAACCACUUAUACAAGUGAUAACCAUGUGGGCUCCAAUUGAAGAGGGUACAAAAAGAGGAUCCCAUUUCUAGCUAGAAUAGUCUUAUCAAGAAAACUUAGCUAUUUUGAACAAUAGCAGCAACGUAGAACUGAUUUUUGUUGAGCCACCCCUUACCACCCUCUCCAACUCAAGCCUGGUUUGUUAGAAGUCAGCCCCAAAGGUACAUGCUUGUCUUGGUUUGUACAGUAUAAACCUGGCAAGUAAAACUGGCUCUGUUGUUCACACAGGUCCAAUUCCUUCCUGGACAGGGGUAGAAGUCUCAUCUAAAGAGUGCUUGGCAGUACAGUAAUCAGUUGUGCUUGCCAGGACAAGCACUAAUCCUGAUCCCCAAAUAUGUGUUGUU